UGGGGAAUCUUCCGCAAUGGACGAGAGUCUGACGGAGCGACGCCGCGUGAGUGAUGAAGGCCCUUGGGUCGUAAAGCUCUGUCAUUGGGGACGAACGAUUACGUCAGGAAAUGGGCGUGAAGUGACGGUACCCAAGAAGGAAGCCACGGCUAACUACGUGCCAGCAGCCGCGGUAAUACGUAGGUGGCAAGCGUUGUCCGGAAUUAUUGGGCGUAAAGCGCGCGCAGGUGGGAUCUUAAGUCCAUUUUGAAAGUUCGGAGCUCAACUUCGUGAGGGGAUGGAAACUGGGAUUCUUGAGUAUCGGAGAGGAAAGCGGAAUUCCCCGUGUAGCGGUGAAAUGCGUAGAUAUGGGGAGGAACACCAGUGGCGAAGGCGGCUUUCUGGACGAUGCCUGACACUGAGGCGCGAAAGCCAGGGGAGCGAACG
rnacentral:rRNA from 1 species